UGUAGCAGUCGGCAUACAGCAUCUGGAACCUGCAGGGGAGAGAACAGGACAUGUCCUGGCUCCUGCGAUUCCACGCUAGCGGAUGCUGCUGCACUCUGCCCAGAUGCCUCCUCCAGAGAGCUGCCUGCUCCCCAGCAGCGGGGAGUGUUGGAGGCCGGCACGCGGGCAGGACUGCCCUUGGCAGAAGGGAGCUGCCUCGCCCAAGCUGCCGCCUCGGACAACAGAAAUCUUUCUCCUCUCUUCCACUCCUGCCCACCCCCA